rnacentral:rRNA from 1 species
UACGUAGGGUGCGAGCGUUUAAUCGGAAUUACUGGGCGUAAAGCGUGCGCAGGCGGUUUUGUAAGCCAGAUGUGAAAUCCCCGGGCUUAACCUGGGAAUGGCAUUUGGGACUGCAAGGCUUGAGUGCGGCAGAGGAGACUGGAAUUCCUGGUGUAGCAGUGAAAUGCGUAGAUAUCAGGAGGAACACCGAUGGCGAAGGCAGGUCUCUGGGCUGACACUGACUCAUGCCAACGAAAGCGUGGGGAGCAAACAGG